rnacentral:rRNA from 1 species
UACGAAGGGGGCUAGCGUUGCUCGGAAUCACUGGGCGUAAAGGGUGCGUAGGCGGAUCUUUAAGUCAGGGGUGAAAUCCCGGGGCUCAACCCCGGAACUGCCUUUGAUACUGGGGAUCUUGAGUUCGGGAGAGGUGAGUGGAACUGCGAGUGUAGAGGUGAAAUUCGUAGAUAUUCGCAAGAACACCAGUGGCGAAGGCGGCUCACUGGCCCGAUACUGACGCUGAGGCACGAAAGCGUGGGGAGCAAACAGG